rnacentral:rRNA from 1 species
GCGUUAUCCGGAUUUAUUGGGCGUAAAGAGCUCGUAGGCGGCCGUCUGCGUCGGAUGUUAAAGCUCAGGGCUUAACUCUGAGAGGUCAUUCGAUACGGGACGGCUAGAGGUAGGUAGGGGAAAGUGGAAUUCCUGGUGUAGCGGUGAAAUGCGCAGAUAUCAGGAGGAACACCGGUGGCGAAGGCGGCUUUCUGGGCCUUACCUGACGCUGAGGAGCGAAAGCUGG